rnacentral:rRNA from 1 species
CAAUAGCGUAUAUUAAAGUUGUUGUGGUUAAAAAGCUCGUAGUUGAACCUUGGGCCUGGCCGUCCGGUCCGCCUCACCGCGUGUACUGGCUCGGCCGGGCCUUUCCCUCUGUGGAACCCCAUGCCCUUCACUGGGCGUGGCGGGGAACCAGGACUUUUACUGUGAAAAAAUUAGAGUGCUCCAGGCAGGCCUAUGCUCGAAUACAUUAGCAUGGAAUAAUAGAAUAGGACGUGUGGUUCUAUUUUGUUGGUUUCUAGGACCGCCGUAAUGAUUAAUAGGGACAGUCGGGGGCAUCAGUAUUCAAUUGUCAGAGGUGAAAUUCUUGGAUUUAUUGAAGACUAACUACUGCGAAAGCAUUUGCCAAGGAUGUUUUCAUUAA